GAAAUGCGAUAAGUAAUGUGAAUUGCAGAAUUCAGUGAAUCAUCGAAUCUUUGAACGCACCUUGCGCUCCUUGGUAUUCCUUGGAGCCUGCCUUUUUGAGUAUCAUGAAAUCUUCAAAGUAAAUCUUUUGUUAACUCAAUUGGUUUCUACUUUGGUAUUGGAGGUCUUUGCAGCUUCACACCUGCUCCUCUUUGUUCAUUAGCUGGAUCUCAGUGUUAUGCUUGGUUCCACUCGGCGUGAUAAGUUAUCUAUCGCUGAGGACACUGUAAAAGGUGGCCAAGGUAAAUGCAGAUGAACCGCUUCUAAUAGUCCAUUGACUUGGACAAUACUUUUAUGAUCUGAUCUCAAAUCAGGUAGGACUACCCGCUGAACUUAAGC
rnacentral:misc_RNA from 1 species